GGUAUAAGGUUUAUCUAUAAUUAGGGGCUAAAGGGUCGCCGCACUCCAUUCCAUUAUUCAAAAUAUCCAUUUCAUUAUUCAAAAUUGGCUAUUUCUUUUUUUUCACGCGUAUUUUGGCAUUUAGGUCUUCUAAUAUUCGUUGCGGAACCUUUAAUAGCUGACUAUGCGGUAUGGGCUUUGCUCAUUGUUGAAGGCUGUACGGUGAGCUAUAGUUGUUAAUGUCUGUGUCAUUGUGGUCUUUCUGGAUAUUUGUCUCAUUGGCAAUCAUACCACAUCUUCUUUUUUAUAUUUCCUCAUUUUUAUGCAUAUUGUGGCAUUUAGGUCCUCCGUAAACCGUCUUAUGGUCAUUUCGAAUCAAAAUAUAGCUAUAGUGUCACAGUCAAUUUUUUUAUAUUUUUUUCACUAUUCACCGCUUCAAUUUGAAUAAUGAAACAUAAACCAUUUC
rnacentral:lncRNA from 1 species